CUAGUCUCACCCCGUCGUUGCCAACCCAACGACACGACUUUGACAGGUCGCAGC
rnacentral:ncRNA from 1 species